rnacentral:lncRNA from 1 species
GUAUUUUUGGAUUGUUUUUAUUAUGUAAAAAGAGCCCAAAACCAGACCAGAACCAUCGUAAGCCUUUAUUAUGAGGAGGAUCUGCUGGGCUCUCUCUGAACAAAGGAGAGAAAGCAACAUGGCAGAAUGGGGAGCUUCUUUUAUAGGAGCAGAGUGGGGUUAGACUGAGCUGGGGUGGACUUGAGUGAGGUAGUAUUAAGAGAUUGGAGGAGGCUGUGACAUCACUGGGGGGCUUGUGACAUCACUAGAUGCUAGGAGGUAGCAAGUAUCAGGUUACUUUUUUGGCAGGACAAGAGGCAUGAUGGGAAGAAGAAGCCUGUCCUUUGUUGGGAGAAGCCAUAUUUUAACAUGGAGGCUGCUGUUCCAUGUGGCAGGCAUCUUAAGGCAAGGGAACAUCCUGAGAGCUGAGGACUUCUCUGCUUUUGUGAUGGAGAGCCUGAGCUUAUGAAGGACCCAUGGGAUUGGCAACUAGGUGGGAAGGCCGGAGAGAACCUGGCCUUUGCUGCCAUGCCACACUGACUGCACGUUUCAAAGUGCUUCACAAACUGUACUAGAGAAUGUAGUGUUAUC